UACGGAGGGUGCGAGCGUUGUCCGGAAUCACUGGGCGUAAAGGGCGCGUAGGUGGCGCGGGCAGUCAACGGUGAAAGUUCGGGGCUCAACCCUGAAUCGGCCACUGAUCGACUGUUGGGCUUGAGCACUGUGAGAGGCUAAGUGGAAUUCCGGGUGUAGCGGUGGAAUGCGUAGAGGAGUCCGGAAGAACGACCGGUGGCGAAGGCGGUUAGCUGGGCAGUGCUGACACUGAGGCGCGGACAGCGUGGGGAGCAGAACGAGG
rnacentral:rRNA from 1 species